rnacentral:rRNA from 1 species
GUCCUAAGGUAGCGAAAUUCCUUGUCAGGUAAGUUCUGACGCGCAUGAGUGGUGUAACGACUGCUUCACUGUCUCCAAUAUUAGCUCAGUGAAUUUGAAUUGUUUGUGCAGAUGCGAACAUGGAAUGGCGGGACGGAAAGACCCCAUGCACCUUUACUGCAUUUUUACAUCGUUUUAAAAAGAAUUUGUGCAGUGUAAAUAUUUUAUCCUAGAAGUUUUUUACGCAAGUAAUUUAAGGAGGACACCAUGAAACAGUAUUCUAAUUCUUUUUCGGACUAAUUGUUUUUCAAGACUAAGAUUUUGUAAAUUUGGUAGUUUGGCUGGGGCGGUCAUCUCCUAAAUUGUAACGGAGAUGUGCAAAGGUAAACUUCUGAUAGCACAUGCUAUUGGAUUAAUGUAAUGGUAUAAGUUUGCUUAACUGCGAGAUGGAUAAAUCAAGCAGGAACGAAAGUUGGUCAUAGUGACCCGAUAAUACUGCGUGGAAAGGUUAUCGAUCAUCGGAUAAAAGGUACGCUGGGGAUAACAGGCUGAUGGUCCCUGAGAGUACAUAUCAACGGGCCCGUUUGGCACCUCGAUGUCGACUCAUCACAUCCUGGAGCUGCAGUUGGUUCCAAGGGUUCGGCUGUUCGCCGAAUAAAGUGGUACGUGAGUUGGGUUUAAAACGUCGUGAGACAGUUUGGUCCCUAUCUACCAUUCUUUUUUUUUUUUGAAAAUUGCGAAGAGUUGAUCCUAUUACGAGAGGACCGGAAAAUAUUUACCGCUGGUGAAUUGAUUGUUGACGUUUGCAGCAUGUCGAGUAGCUAAGUAAAAAAAUCAGAACCACUGAAUACAUCUAAGUGGGAAAGAUAACUUCAAAAAAAUUUUCAUACAAGGACACAAUGGAGUAUUGUGUAAAAGACGUAAAUGCUCUGGCUGUAAUGCUAUGUUAGAUGUUCUUUAAUCCUUUAUUUUUUUAUAAA